rnacentral:rRNA from 1 species
UUCCUACGGGGCGCAGCAGUGAGGAAUAUUGGUCAAUGGUCGGGAGACUGGACCAGCCAAGCCGCGUGAGGGAUGAAGGUACAGAGUAUCGUAAACCUCUUUUGUCAGGGAACAAAGGCGGGGACGCGUCCCCGGAUGAGUGUACCUGAAGAAAAAGCAUCGGCUAACUCCGUGCCAGCAGCCGCGGUAAUACGGAGGAUGCGAGCGUUAUCCGGAUUUAUUGGGUUUAAAGGGUGCGUAGGCGGUUCGAUAAGUUAGAGGUGAAAUCCCGGGGC